GGGAGUGUAUAUCAUCUCAACUGGAUAGAGGCUCGCUAACGAGAGCGAGUGGUUGCAGGUUCGAGCCCUGCCACUCCCACAA
rnacentral:tRNA from 1 species